rnacentral:rRNA from 1 species
GACGAACGCUGGCGGCGUGCUUAACACAUGCACGUCGAGCGGUAAGGCCUUUCGGGGUACACGAGCGGCGAACGGGUGAGUAACACGUGGGUGAUCUGCCCUGCACUCUGGGAUAAGCCUGGGAAACUGGGUCUAAUACUGGAUAUGACCUCAGCAUGCAUGUGCUGGGGUGGAAAGCUUUUGUGGUGCAGGAUGGGCCCGCGGCCUAUCAGCUUGUUGGUGGGGUAAUGGCCUACCAAGGCGACGACGGGUAGCCGACCUGAGAGGGUGACCGGCCACACUGGGACUGAGACACGGCCCAGACUCCUACGGGAUGCAGCAGUGGGGAAUAUUGCACAAUGGGCGGAAGCCUGGUGCAGCGACGCCGCGUGGGGGAUGAAGGCCUUCGGGUUGUAAACCUCUUUCAGCAGGGACGAAGCGUGAGUGACGGUACCUGCAGAAGAAGCACCGGCUAACUACGUGCCAGCAGCCGCCGUAAUAC